GAUAGAGGAUGCAAGCGUUAUCCAGAAUGAUUGGGCGUAAAGCGUCUAUAGGUGGCUUUUCAUGUUCGCUGUCAAAUCCCAGGGCUCAACCCUGGACAGGCGGUGGAAACUACCAAGCUGGAGUACGGUAGGGGCAGAGGGAAUUUCCAGUGGAGCGGUGAAAUGCAUUGAGAUCGGAAAGAACACCAAUGACGAAAGCACUACUGCUAGGCCGACACUGACACUAAGAGACGAAAAGCUAGGGGAGCAAAUGGG
rnacentral:rRNA from 1 species